rnacentral:lncRNA from 1 species
ACUCUUCAUUGACAAAGAUGAGUUCCAGAGAAGGUUGGCUGUUCUUUACAUCCAGACCUAUGAGUAGCAAAGAAAAGCAGUAUGUGAGAGGUGGAGGCUGGGGCUGACCCUGUGGGUUGGAGCAUAGCUCAAGGGCUUAGGGCGGAGGUGGGCCAUAUGGAGUGGGUGACAUUUCUCCUUCCCUUUGCUCUGUAAGUAGAGUGGGGCUCAUGGAUGCAGACUGGCCCCAGGGUUUUGCAGUGAUCCUUGAGCAUUUGGGGGCAAAGAGCAGUGUGUACCCUUGAGCAUUUGGGGGAAAAGAGCCCAGAAGUGAAGGAGGAAGGAAGAGCCAGAACAGGGAGUUCAGGGAAGCUUCAGAGUCCAAGAGCUGGGAUGGGAAAGAGGAGAGAGGGAAGAGGAAGGGGAAUGUGGGGGCAUGGCUGAGGGGGUCCUGGGGUGGGCACAAAGUUGGGCAGUCUCCCUAGAGGAGCCAGGCAGGAGGACCCCAGGGGAGGUUGGAGGAGCAAAGGAGAGAUGAACUCCAGCAAACUGUACUGAUGGGUUCGGCCUCUUCGGUGUUGGAGUUGCCCGCCACGAGCUGCUCAUCCUCAGCACUGACCAGCUCCUGCAGCACGGCCUCCACUAUGGGCAUCACCAUGGCGGUGGUGGAGGUGUUGGACAGCCACAUGGACAGCAACGUGGUACAGCACAUGAAGCAGAGCAGCAGCCUGGAAGGCAGGGAGGGUUGGGGCAGAGCAUCCACAGAACACGCAUCCCUGCGGCUCCACAGUGGGCCUCCUACCAACCUGCUGGGGCUGGUCUAGACAGCUGUGGCUGGAAAGGCAGGCAUUUGUCCUGCAGGGUGCCAUUCAGCUCUGUACUCCCAAUGCUUGGCACAGCGUGGAAUCACUGACUUUGCACAACUUGGGGACAGUACGUUUAUCAUGUGGACUCCAUUGGCUGACAGCGACAUGACUUUGCCAAUUCUGUA